UAGUAUAGUGGUAAGGCAUUGGUUUCAUGAACCGAAGAUCACAGGUUCAAACCCUGU
rnacentral:tRNA from 1 species